UACAGAGGUCUCAAGCGUUGUUCGGAUUCAUUGGGCGUAAAGGGUGCGUAGGUGGCGAGGUUAGUCAGGUGUGAAAUCUCGGGGCUCAACCCCGAAACUGCACUUGAUACUGCCUUGCUAGAGUACUGGAGAGGAGAUUGGAAUUUACGGUGUAGCAGUGAAAUGCGUAGAUAUCGUAAGGAAGACCAGUGGCGAAGGCGGCAUCCUGGACCAACACUGACGCUGAGGCACGAAAGCUAGGGGAGCAAACAGG
rnacentral:rRNA from 1 species